rnacentral:rRNA from 1 species
AGAGUUUGAUCAUGGCUCAGAUUGAACGCUGGCGGCGUGCCUAACACAUGCAAGUCGAGCGGUAACAGGUGUAGCAAUACAUGCUGACGAGCGGCGGACGGGUGAGUAACGCUUGGGAAUCUGCCUGAUAGUGGGGGACAACCCGGGGAAACUCGGGCUAAUACCGCAUACGCACUACGGUGGAAAGCCGGGGACCGCAAGGCCUGGCGCUAACAGAUGAGCCCAAGUCGGAUUAGCUAGUUGGUAGGGUAACGGCCUACCAAGGCGACGAUCCGUAACUGGUCUGAGAGGACGACCAGUCACACCGGAACUGAGACACGGUCCGGACUCCUACGGGAGGCAGCAGUGGGGAAUAUUGGACAAUGGGCGAAAGCCUGAUCCAGCGACGCCGCGUGGGUGAAGAAGGCCUGCGGGUUGUAAAGCCCUUUCGGUGGGGAAGAAAAGCCUCGAGUUAAUACCUCGGGGUCUUGACGUAACCCAUAGAAGAAGCACCGGCUAAC